rnacentral:rRNA from 1 species
UGGGGAAUAUUGGACAAUGGGCGCAAGCCUGAUCCAGCCAUGCCGCGUGAGUGAUGAAGGCCCUAGGGUUGUAAAGCUCUUUCACCGGUGAAGAUAAUGACGGUAACCGGAGAAGAAGCCCCGGCUAACUUCGUGCCAGCAGCCGCGGUAAUACGAAGGGGGCUAGCGUUGUUCGGAUUUACUGGGCGUAAAGCGCACGUAGGCGGACUUUUAAGUCAGGGGUGAAAUCCCGGGGCUCAACCCCGGAACUGCCUUUGAUACUGGAAGUCUUGAGUAUGGUAGAGGUGAGUGGAAUUCCGAGUGUAGAGGUGAAAUUCGUAGAUAUUCGGAGGAACACCAGUGGCGAAGGCGGCUCACUGGACCAUUACUGACGCUGAGGUGCGAAAGCGUGGGGACCAAACAGG